rnacentral:rRNA from 1 species
AAUGAACGCGGGCGGCGUGCUUAACACAUGCAGUCGAGCGAGAAAGUUUUGAAAAAGAUUCUUCGGAUGAAAUUUAAAAUGGAAAGCGGCGGACGGGUGAGUAACGCGUAGGCAACCUGCCCCAUACAAAAGGGAUAGCAUUUGGAAACGAAUAUUAAUACCUUAUGAAACUUAACUAGUGCAUGCUAGGUAGGUCAAAGAUUUAUCGGUAUGGGAUGGGCCUGCGUCUGAUUAGCUAGUUGGUGAGGUAACGGCUCACCAAGGCGACGAUCAGUAGCCGACCUGAGAGGGUGAACGGCCACAUUGGAAAUGAGACACGGUCCAAACUCCUACGGGAGGCAGCAGUGGGGAAUAUUGCACAAUGGGGGAAACCCUGAUGCGGCAACGCCGCGUGAACGAUGAAGGCCUUUGGGUCGUAAAGUUCUGUUCUAGGUGAUGAAAACUGACAAUAACCUAGGAGAAAGCCCCGGCUAACUCCGUGCCAGCAGCCGCGGUAAUACGGAGGGGGCAAGCGUUAUCCGGAAUUAUUGGGCGUAAAGGGUACGUAGGUGGCCUUUUAAGCGUAGGGUAUAAGGCAAUGGCUCAACCAUUGUUCGCCCUAUGAACUGGAAGGCUUGAGUGCAGGAGAGGAAAGCGGAAUUCCUAGUGUAGCGGUGGAAUGCAUAGAUAUUAGGAGGAACAUCAGCGGCGAAGGCGGCUUUCUGGACUGCAACUGACACUGAGGUACGAAAGCGUGGGGAGCAAACAGG